rnacentral:rRNA from 1 species
GAUGAACGCUGGCGGCGUGCCUAAUACAUGCAAGUCGAGCGAACGGACGAGAAGCUUGCUUCUCUGAUGUUAGCGGCGGACGGGUGAGUAACACGUGGAUAACCUACCUAUAAGACUGGGAUAACUUCGGGAAACCGGAGCUAAUACCGGAUAAUAUUUUGAACCGCAUGGUUCAAAAGUGAAAGACGGUCUUGCUGUCACUUAUAGAUGGAUCCGCGCUGCAUUAGCUAGUUGGUAAGGUAACGGCUUACCAAGGCAACGAUGCAUAGCCGACCUGAGAGGGUGAUCGGCGACACUGGAAGUGAGACACGGUCCAGACUACUGCGGGAGGCGGCAGUAGGGAAUCUUCCGCAAUGGGCGAAAGCCUGACGGAGCAACGCCGCGUGAGUGAUGAAGGUCUUCGGAUCGUAAAACUCUGUUAUUAGGGAAGAACAUAUGUGUAAGUAACUGUGCACAUCUUGACGGUACCUGAUCAGAAAGCCACGGCUAACUACGUG